rnacentral:tRNA from 1 species
GGGGGGAUAACUCAGUGGUAGAAUAUAUGCUUAGAAUGCACAAGGUCCUGACUUCAAUCCCCAGUACCUCCA